UACGUAGGGGGCGAGCGUUUGUCCGGAUUCAUUGGGCGUAAAGCGCUUUAAGGCGGUUCGGUAAGUCGGGUGUGAAACCUCCAGGCUCAACCUGGAGACGCCACUCGAUACUGCUGUGACUAGAGUUCGGUAGGGGAUCACGGAAUUCCUGGUGUAGCGGUGAAAUGCGCAGAUAUCAGGAGGAACACCGGUGGCGAAGGCGGUGAUCUGGGCCGACACUGACGCUGUAGAGCGAAAGCGUGGGGAGCGAACAGG
rnacentral:rRNA from 1 species